UGGGGAAUUUUGGACAAUGGGCGAAAGCCUGAUCCAGCAAUGCCGCGUGUGUGAAGAAGGCCUUCGGGUUGUAAAGCACUUUUGUCCGGAAAGAAAUCCUUGGCUCUAAUACAGUCGGGGGAUGACGGUACCGGAAGAAUAAGCACCGGCUAACUACGUGCCAGCAGCCGCGGUAAUACGUAGGGUGCAAGCGUUAAUCGGAAUUACUGGGCGUAAAGCGUGCGCAGGUGGUUUGCUAAGACCGAUGUGAAAUCCCCGGGCUCAACCUGGGAACUGCAUUGGUGACUGGCAGGCUAGAGUAUGGCAGAGGGGGGUAGAACUCCACGUGUAGCAGUGAAAUGCGUAGAGAUGUGGAGGAAUACCGAUGGCGAAGGCAGCCCCCUGGGCCAAUACUGACGCUCAUGCACGAAAGCGUGGGGGAGCAAACAGGAUUAGAUACCCCUGGUAGUCCACGCCCUAAACGAUGUCAACUAGUUGUUGGGGAUUCAUUUCCUUAGUAACGUAGCUAACGCGUGAAGUUGACCGCCUGGGGAGUACGGUCGCAAGAUUAAAACUCAAAGGAAUUGACGGGGUCAUAGCUGUUUCCU
rnacentral:rRNA from 1 species